rnacentral:rRNA from 1 species
UACGUAGGGUGCAAGCGUUGCCCGGAUUUAUUGGGCGUAAAGGGCGCGUAGGCGGCUGAACAAGUCAAAGGUGAAAUCCCUCGGCUCAACUGAGGAACUGCCUUUGAAACUGUUCGGCUUGAGGCCGGGAGGGGGUAGCGGAAUUCCCAGUGUAGCGGUGAAAUGCGUAGAUAUUGGGAGGAACACCAGUGGCGAAGGCGGCUACCUGGACCGGUUCUGACGCUGAGGCGCGAAAGCGUGGGUAGCAAACAGG